rnacentral:rRNA from 1 species
CUACGGGUCGCUGCAGUAGGGGAUUUUUCGCAAUGGGGGCAACCCUGACGGAGCAAUGCCGCGUGGAGGAUGACACCCUUAGGGGCGUAAACUCCUUUUCUAUGAGACGAUAUAGACGGUAUCAUAGGAAUAAGCAUCGGCUAACUACGUGCCAGCAGCAGCGGUAAUACGUAGGAUGCAAGCGUUAACCGGAAUUACUGGGCGUAAAGCGUGUGUAGGCGGCCAAGUAAGUCUGUUGUUAAAUCCUCGCGCUCAACGCGAGACCAGCAAUGGAUACUGCAUGGCUAGAGGUAAUGAGAGGAAAACGGAAUUCCCGGUGUAGCGGUAAAAUGCAUUGAUAUCGGGAGGAACACCAGAUGCGAAGGCGGUUUUCUGGCAUUUACCUGACGCUCAGACACGAAGGCUAGGGUAGCGAAAGGGAUUAGAUACCCGCGUAGUC